AGGGUGUUAUCUCAAUGGAAGAGCAUCUUCUUUACUAGUAGGAGUUUGGUGGUUCGAUUCCACCAUGCCUUG
rfam:Picea glauca, whole genome shotgun sequence.